rnacentral:tRNA from 1 species
UCCCUGGUGGCUCAGAUGGUAAAGAAUCUGCCUGCAAUGCAGGAGACCCAGGUUUGAUCUCUGGGUAGGGAA